rnacentral:rRNA from 1 species
AGCCUACGGGGGGCAGCAGUGGGGGAUAUUGCACAAUGGGGGGAACCCUGAUGCAGCGACGCCGCGUGAGCGAUGAAGUAUUUCGGUAUGUAAAGCUCUAUCAGCAGGGAAGAAAAUGACGGUACCUGCAGAGGAAGCCACGGCUAACUACGUGCCAGCAGCCGCGGUAAUACGUAGGGGGCAAGCGUUAUCCGGAAUUACUGGGUGUAAAGGGAGCGUAGACGGUUAAGUAAGUCUGGAGUGAAAGGCCGGGGCUCAACCCCGGGACUGCUCUGGAAACUAUUUAACUUGAGUGCAGGAGAGGU